GACGAACGCUGGCGGCGUGCUUAGCACAUGCAAGUCGAACGGAAAGGCCCUGCUUUUGUGGGGUGCUCGAGUGGCGAACGGGUGAGUAACACGUGAGUAACCUGCCCUUGACUUUGGGAUAACUUCAGGAAACUGGGGCUAAUACCGGAUAGGAGCUCCUGCUGCAUGGUGGGGGUUGGAAAGUUUCGGCGGUUGGGGAUGGACUCGCGGCUUAUCAGCUUGUUGGUGGGGUAGUGGCUUACCAAGGCUUUGACGGGUAGCCGGCCUGAGAGGGUGACCGGCCACAUUGGGACUGAGAUACGGCCCAGACUCCUACGGGAGGCAGCAGUGGGGAAUAUUGCACAAUGGGCGGAAGCCUGAUGCAGCAACGCCGCGUGCGGGAUGACGGCCUUCGGGUUGUAAACCGCUUUCGCCUGUGACGAAGCAUGAGUGACGGUAAUGGGUAAAGAAGCACCGGCUAACUACGUG
rnacentral:rRNA from 1 species